rnacentral:rRNA from 1 species
AGUGAACGCUGGCGGUAGGCCUAACACAUGCAAGUCGAACGGCAGCACAGUAAGAGCUUGCUCUUACGGGUGGCGAGUGGCGGACGGGUGAGGAAUACAUCGGAAUCUACUUUUUCGUGGGGGAUAACGUAGGGAAGCUUACGCUAAUACCGCAUACGACCUACGGGUGAAAGCAGGGGAUCUUCGGACCUUGCGCGAUUGAAUGAGCCGAUGUCGGAUUAGCUAGUUGGCGGGGUAAAGGCCCACCAAGGCGACGAUCCGUAGCUGGUCCGAGAGGAUGAUCCGGCACACUUGAACUGAGAAACGGUCCAGACUCCCAAGGGGGGCAGGCGGGGGGAAUUUUUGGAAAUGGGCGGAAGCCUGAACCAGCCAUACCGCGUGGGUGAAGAAGGCCUUCGGGUUGUAAAGCCCUUUUGUUGGGAAAGAAAAGCAGCAGGUUAAUACCCCGCUGUUCUGACGGUACCCAAAGAAUAAGCACCGGCUAACUUCGUG